rnacentral:rRNA from 1 species
GACGAACGCUGGCGGCGUGCUUAACACAUGCAAGUCGAACGGAAAGGCCUGCUUUCCCUUGUGGAUUGCGGGUACUCGAGUGGCGAACGGGUGAGUAACACGUGAGUGAUCUGCCCCCAACUUGGGUAUAAGCCUGGGAAACUGGGCCUAAUUCCCGAUAGGACUGCAGGGUGGUGCCUGUGGUGGAAAACGAUUUUCUAGUGGUUGGGGAUGAGCUCGCGGCCUAUCAGCUUGUUGGUGGGGUAAUGGCCUACCAAGGCGGCGACGGGUAGCCGGCCUGGGAGGGUGGACGGCCACAUUGGGACUGAGAUACGGCCCAGACGCCUACGGGAGGCAGCAGUGGGGAAUAUGACACAAUGGGCGGAAGCCUGAUGCAGCGACGCCGCGUGGGGGAUGACGGCCUUCGGGUUGUAAACUCCUUUCGACCGCGAGGAAGCCACCUGGUUGGAAGGGUGGUGACGGUAGUGGUAGAAGAAGCACCGGCUAACUACGUG